rnacentral:rRNA from 1 species
CCGCCCGUCACACCCAUGGAAGUGUAGUUGCGACCAGAAGCAAGGUAGCCUGACCGCAAGGAGGGCGCCUACCACGGUGUGGUCCAUGACUGGGGGUGAAGUCGUAACAAGGUACCC